UUUAGUGAAGUGAAAGAGUGAAAGAGCUCAGAUUGUGUUCCUGCUGCACAAGAGCGUCUGUACUUCUGCAUGUGAGUUUAACACUUCUACAUUACGCUGAUUUGUGGAGAUGAUGAAGGGUUUAUAUGUGUGAAUGUGAUUUAAAUGUCUGAUCCUGAAGAUCAAAUCCUCAAACACAGAUUAAACACUGAGUCAAACACGCUCAUUUAAACACUGUGUCUAAAAGCUUUAUUUUUAAUCCCUUUAAAGUGUUUGUUCUCUUCUAUAUCAGACUGACUCAAUAGUGUCCAAUAAUUCAGCAUUAAAUAUAACUCUAAACAUUCAGAGUCACCAAAUCAAAAGUAAAGUUAAAGCAGACCUUCCAGUUGAACAGGAAGAAAAGCUGCUGAAAAACAACAAGCUGAUGAUCCUUAAACAACACUGCAUUUAACCCUUUACUGUCAGAGUAACUCAUUAACCAAAUAGCCUCUUUAGUAGAGAGACAUUUUAAUACUCACUAAAUCAACAAUUGGCUGAACCUGAACUUCUCUUGAUAAACUCUAUAUAACAUGCAUUUACCUUAAAUCAAAUGUGAAACAGCUGAGAUGUCAGAUCAGGGUUAAACCAACUGCAUUCAUGUUAAUGACUAUAUAUAUAUGUGUGUGUGUGUGUGUGUAUGAUAGUUUCCUGAAAGCUCUGCUAAUGUCUGCAUUGGUGUUUUAGCUGCAGUAUGGCAGAGGAGCGAGUAAAGGACUCUCUCUCAGAGAAACACAGUGUGAGAUCAGGAUCAUGUGUGUCCAGCUCUGUGUCUCUGAAAAGUGACCGUUCAAAAGGUCAACCACCAAACCUCAGAGAGAAAACACCAUCAUCUGCCAAAAGGUAUUUAGUGUUUUACAUUAUUGAUUACACAUGGACUGUAUUGUGUAAACCAACAAUCCACCACUAGAAAAUAAAUCACACUACUAGAAGAUAAAUCACGACACUAGAAGAUAAAUCACGACACUAGAAGAAAAAUCACGACACUAAAAGAUAAAUCACGACACUAGAAGAAAAAUCACGACACUAAAAGAUAAAUCACGACACUAGAAGAUAAAUCACGAAAAAAGUAGAUAAAUCACGACACUAGAGGAUAAAUCACGACACUAGAGGAUAAAUCACGACACUAGAAGAUAAAUCACGACACUAGAGGAUAAAUCACGACACUAGAGGAUAAAUCACGACACUAGAAGAUAAAUCACGACACUAGAAGAUAAAUCACGACACUGGAAGAUAAAUCAUGAAAAAAGUAGAUAAAUCACGACACUGGAAGAUAAAUCACGACACUGGAAGAUAAAUCACGAAAAAAGUAGAUAAAUCACGACACUGGAAGAUAAAUCACGACACUAGAAGAUAAAUCACGACACUAGAGGAUAAAUCACGACACUAGAAGAUAAAUCACGACACUAGUAGAUAAAUCAUGACACUAGAAGAUAAAUCACGACACUAGAAGAUAAAUCACGACACUAGAAGCAAAAUCACGACACUAAAAGAUAAAUCACGACACUGGAAGAUAAAUCACAACACUAAAAGAUAAAUCACGACACUGGAAGAUAAAUCACAACACUAAAAGAUAAAUCACGACACUAGAGGAUAAAUCACGACACUAGAGGAUAAAUCACGACACUAGAAGAUAAAUCACGACACUAGAGGAUAAAUCACGACACUAGAGGAUAAAUCACGACACUAGAAGAUAAAUCACGACACUAGAAGAUAAAUCACGACACUGGAAGAUAAAUCAUGAAAAAAGUAGAUAAAUCACGACACUGGAAGAUAAAUCACGACACUGGAAGAUAAAUCACGAAAAAAGUAGAUAAAUCACGACACUGGAAGAUAAAUCACGACACUAGAAGAUAAAUCACGACACUAGAGGAUAAAUCACGACACUAGAAGAUAAAUCACGACACUAGUAGAUAAAUCAUGACACUAGAAGAUAAAUCACGACACUAGAAGAUAAAUCACGACACUAGAAGCAAAAUCACGACACUAAAAGAUAAAUCACGACACUGGAAGAUAAAUCACAACACUAAAAGAUAAAUCACGACACUGGAAGAUAAAUCACAACACUAAAAGAUAAAUCACGACACUAGAGGAUAAAUCACGACACUAGAGGAUAAAUCACGACACUAGAAGAUAAAUCACGACACUAGAGGAUAAAUCACGACACUAGAGGAUAAAUCACGACACUAGAAGAUAAAUCACGACACUAGAAGAUAAAUCACGACACUGGAAGAUAAAUCAUGAAAAAAGUAGAUAAAUCACGACACUGGAAGAUAAAUCACGACACUGGAAGAUAAAUCACGAAAAAAGUAGAUAAAUCACGACACUGGAAGAUAAAUCACGACACUAGAAGAUAAAUCACGACACUAGAGGAUAAAUCACGACACUAGAAGAUAAAUCACGACACUAGUAGAUAAAUCAUGACACUAGAAGAUAAAUCACGACACUAGAAGAUAAAUCACGACACUAGAAGCAAAAUCACGACACUAAAAGAUAAAUCACGACACUGGAAGAUAAAUCACAACACUAAAAGAUAAAUCACGACACUGGAAGAUAAAUCACAACACUAAAAGAUAAAUCACGACACUAGAGGAUAAAUCACGACACUAGAGGAUAAAUCACGACACUAGAAGAUAAAUCACGACACUAGAGGAUAAAUCACGACACUAGAGGAUAAAUCACGACACUAGAAGAUAAAUCACGACACUAGAAGAUAAAUCACGACACUGGAAGAUAAAUCAUGAAAAAAGUAGAUAAAUCACGACACUGGAAGAUAAAUCACGACACUGGAAGAUAAAUCACGAAAAAAGUAGAUAAAUCACGACACUGGAAGAUAAAUCACGACACUAGAAGAUAAAUCACGACACUAGAGGAUAAAUCACGACACUAGAAGAUAAAUCACGACACUAGUAGAUAAAUCAUGACACUAGAAGAUAAAUCACGACACUAGAAGAUAAAUCACGACACUAGAAGCAAAAUCACGACACUAAAAGAUAAAUCACGACACUGGAAGAUAAAUCACAACACUAAAAGAUAAAUCACGACACUGGAAGAUAAAUCACAACACUAAAAGAUAAAUCACGACACUAGAGGAUAAAUCACGACACUAGAGGAUAAAUCACGACACUAGAAGAUAAAUCACGACACUAGAGGAUAAAUCACGACACUAGAGGAUAAAUCACGACACUAGAAGAUAAAUCACGACACUAGAAGAUAAAUCACGACACUGGAAGAUAAAUC
ensembl:lincRNA